rnacentral:lncRNA from 1 species
GCGGCCUUAAGUCUAUCCCGAAUCACCUUUACCUUCUUCAUAGCCUGGUGAACCAAGUCGGGACCAAGAAUAUUCGACUCCCCAAUCUCAAACCAACCAAUAGGAUACCUACAACUCCUACUAUAUAAUGCUUCAAAAGAAGCCAUGCCGAUACUACAAUGAUAGCUAUUAUUGUAAGAAAACUCUACCAAAGGUAGAUGGUCAUCCAAUUGCCAC